AGAGUUUGAUCCUGGCUCAGGAUGAACGCUGGCGGCAUGCCUAAUACAUGCAAGUCGAACGAGAGGAAGGAAAGCUUGCUUUUCUGAAUCUAGUGGCGAACGGGUGAGUAACACGUAGGUAACCUGCCCAUGUGCCCGGGAUAACUUCUGGAAACGGAUGCUAAAACCGGAUAGGUAGCAGACAAGCAUUUGACUGCUAUUAAAGUGGCUAAGGCCAUGAACAUGGAUGGACCUGCGGUGCAUUAGCUAGUUGGUGAGGUAACGGCUCACCAAGGCGACGAUGCAUAGCCGGCCUGAGAGGGCGGACGGCCACAUUGGGACUGAGACACGGCCCAAACUCCUACGGGAGGCAGCAGUAGGGAAUUUUCGUCAAUGGGGGGAACCCUGAACGAGCAAUGCCGCGUGAGUGAGGAAGGUCUUCGGAUCGUAAAGCUCUGUUGUAAGAGAAAAACGACAUUCAUAGGGAAUGAUGAGUGAGUGAUGGUAUCUUACCAGAAAGUCACGGCUAACUACGUGCCAGCAGCCGCGGUAAUACGUAGGUGGCGAGCGUUAUCCGGAAUGAUUGGGCGUAAAGGGUGCGUAGGUGGCAGAACAAGUCUGGAGUAAAAGGUAUGGGCUCAACCCGUACUGGCUCUGGAAACUGUUCAGCUAGAGAACAGAAGAGGACGGCGGAACUCCAUGUGUAGCGGUAAAAUGCGUAGAUAUAUGGAAGAACACCGGUGGCGAAGGCGGCCGUCUGGUCUGUUGCUGACACUGAAGCACGAAAGCGUGGGGAGCAAAUAGGAUUAGAUACCCUAGUAGUCCACGCCGUAAACGAUGAGAACUAGGUGUUGGGGGAAUAACUCAGUGCCGCAGUUAACGCAAUAAGUUCUCCGCCUGGGGAGUAUGCACGCAAGUGUGAAACUCAAAGGAAUUGACGGGGGCCCGCACAAGCGGUGG
rnacentral:rRNA from 1 species